rnacentral:lncRNA from 1 species
UCUCGGAAGGUGAAUGAACAGUGGCAACUGCCCGGAGUAACUGAACUCUGAUUCCUCCUGUGGGCUGGAAAAGGAAACUCUCUGAAGCCAAAGAAGACAGAGCAAUUUCUAGUAAGACAGCCUCAGUCAGAGCCCACACCGACCAACAACUAAAAGACAGCCCAUAGAUGUCCUGUGUCUGACUUCCUUGUGUUUACUUCUUGUCAGAUUAAAAAGCCAAAAACCAAGACCAGACCAGUCCCACAACAAGCCUUUAUUAAGGAGAAGGGACAAUCUGCCAGGCUGCCUCUGAACAAAGAGUGCAGCAACAUGGCAGGGGCUGGAGCACCUUUAUAGAGGUUGUGUGGGGACUGAGAGGUAUGACAGUGAGGGAUUGGAGGGUCUACAAGGCAUGUCACCCAAGGGAUUGGAGGAACUUGUCUCAUCACUAGUUGCCAGGAAGGGAGCAAGUACCAGGCUACUUUUUGGGUGGGAAGAGAGGCAUGUUGGGAAGAAGAAGAUUGUCUUUCGGCAGGAGAAGCCAUUUUGAGGCUAGGUUUAGGCGGGAAACACUGCAUUAUGGGAAGAAGAAAACCAGUUUGGGCAGGAAGGAAGCCAUCUUGGGGUUGGGUUUUAGGUGGGAACACAGUGGAUUGUGUGAAGAAGGAGAGCUUGUGGCAGGAAAUGGGGUAUUAUGGGAAGGAGAAGGUGGUCAUUACAUGUAGCUGCUAUUUUAAGGAGAAAGAAAUCUAUCACUUCUCAUCUUAAUGCCAGUGCCUGGACAAUGUUCUCUGCCCUCCAGGAGAGAAGGGAGAGGCCAAGAAGGCUCUGUCCAACUAGAGAACUGUGGGACCAGCAGAAAAGUUUCAAGCCUGGGUCACCAGGAGACUCAAAGAGCUGCUGCCGCACGCCCCCCACCCAGGGAGUCUCCCAGUGGAGAACAGGAAGUGCCUGGUGCCUCAGUUCUUCCCUUCAGUGACCACACCACAGGCUCGUCAAUACCUCUGGACUCCGCAGGGGUGACUGGCAGGCUCUGGUUCACACCUGCUUCCGGUGAACCAGCGCUUCUUUCUUUCGGAACUGGAACUGAAGAUCCUCCCAGAUACACCUGACAGUCCAAGGAGCUGGAAUGCACAUCAAACAAAGCAGGCAGAAGCGGGCGUUUCAUCAAGCCAAACCAGCACCGCAAGCCUCCCACUGCCGCCGUGGGGAGUUUCCGAAGACCAGAGAAGCACGGGCCAGUUAGAGGCUGCCAAAUUCAAGACAGCCGGUUCCCUCGGAGGCUGCCAGCCACUCUUCCUGCCAACAAGACCUGGAAACGGCCUUACCACACAGCUCCUGGGUUCCCCUUACUUUUUCCACUGCGAAUGUAGCCUGAUUAGAGCGAGCGUGCAGAAGCACUAGAGGCGUACAUUCAGAAAACAUAUUUUGAACAAACUUUAUCUUUCUGAUCUUCAUUUUCUUGUUGUGAGAACGGGGAGGCAGACUAGAUCAGAGCUUCUCAUCCCUGGGUGCUCACAAAACCAUCCGGGAGCUUUAAAAAUGCAUACUUCUGGGCCCUUUACCGACCAAUUAAACCAGAACCUCUAAGUAUUUUUCAAAAACUCCCUAGAUGUUUCUAAUAGAUGCUGCUAGAUGCUGCCUGUGGUUAUUUCUACAUCAAACAUUUAUUUGUGAUCCUUCAUAUAAAGUGCAACCAAAUACUAAUGAGGCUGGCUUCCCACACUUCUCGUGAAAAGCUAUCUAAAUAUUAGGAUUUCUCUCUGUGUAGUCAUAAAGUCAAGGUCAGUCUUGUGGGCAGACAAAGACAGUGUGAUUUUAGGAACUUUUCUAAUCUUUAAACAUCUAGACUGCAAUGUUAAAAUCUAAAAUUAGGGGUGUAAAAUGCCAGUGAUUGGGGUCACGUGAGGAACCUAUUUGUGCAACUGAGAGUAGGUGUAGCACCAGGAAGGGGUGGAGUUCAUGGCACUAAAACUGUGUCCUCCCUAUGGGCAUUCCAACACACCUCCUGCCUGCCUCUCUCCUCUUCUGCCUUCUUUGCUUCCUUCUUUCCUAAACACCAGCUUGGCAGAAUGAAAAAAUUUAACCUGUUUCAAUUCACCUGUCUGUGAACUGUUUGAGACUCCAACCCAAGAUAUUUUGACGCCUUAGAAAAAAAUCUAACUGUUACAAAAGUUACCUAUCUCAUUAAUACAUUUUCAAAAAACAUCAUCUCGUCCACAUUGGACAAUAAAACUACAGGAUAGAAAUAAGAACUCUGAACAAACACUGCUGUAAACCUAUUCAUCUCCCUGUUCUUCACAGAUCCCCAUGGUGCUACAAAUUUGUCUCCAUUAUCUUAAACCAAGUGUCUGUUUAGAGUCUUUUGAUUUCUGUGUGCCAUUCUAAUUUUUCCCUUGGGUUCACUGUACCCCUUUCACAUACAGAAUUUUGAGCAGUAAACUCCUGUUUAUAGUGCAUCCUAUAUCCUAAAAGAGGAACCUCUUGAACCUUGCUUUUCCUAAAGUACUUUCUGCCUCAAGACUGUCCAGACUUGGCAUAAUUGACAUUUUGGGCUGCAUAAUUAUGUGAGGGGUGGAGAUGUUCCAUGCAUGGUAGGACUUUUCUCAACAUCUCUGAGCUGUGGCCACUAGAGGCCAAUUGCACCAUCUCUCCUGACGUGAUCAUCAACACUGUCUGCAGGCACUGCCAAGCGUCCCCAGGUGGGUGAAUCUCCCUCGAUGAGCCUUGUUGCUCUAACUGAAUAUGAUGCCUCGGUGCCCGUGAGGAAAAUGGUAGAGCAAGCUCUGUGGGCUUGGGAUGCAGCCAGCAUAAUAUCCCAGCUUCCAAAGGAAAAGCCCCAGCAGAAAAGGAAACAAGAUUCAGGAUGAUCAGCUGUGUCAGUUCCAU